CGGGUGAGUAACACGUAUGCAACCUGCCUUUAACUGGAGCAUAGCUCCGAGAAAUCGGAAUUAAUACUCCAUAAUAUCUAUUUAUCGCAUGAUAGUUAGAUUAAAGCUUCGGCGGUUAAAGAUGGGCAUGCGGGACAUUAGUUUGUUGGUGAGGUAACGGCUCACCAAGACUACGAUGUCUAUGGGGUCUUAAAGGAUGGUCCCACACACUGGUACUGAGCCACGGACCAG
rnacentral:rRNA from 1 species